rnacentral:tRNA from 1 species
AAUUAAAUAGCUUAAGUUAAAGUAAAGUAUUGAAGAUACUAAGAUGAAAAUAAUUUCUUUAAUUA